rnacentral:rRNA from 1 species
GAUGAACGCUGGCGGCGUGCCUAAUACAUGCAAGUCGAACGCUGGAAAUCUAGCUUGCUAGAUUGAAGGAGUGGCGAACGGGUGAGUAAUACAUAAGCAACCUACCCACGAAGACUGGGAUAAUCUCUGGAAACGGGGACUAAUACCGGAUAGGUAAUCGGAAGGCAUCUUCUGAUUAUUAAAGGUUAAAAACACUGGUGGAUGGGCUUAUGGCGCAUUAGUUAGUUGGUGAGGUAACGGCCCACCAAGACGAUGAUGCGUAGCCGGCCUGAGAGGGUGAACGGCCACAUUGGGACUGAGACACGGCCCAGACUCCUACGGGAGGCAGCAGUAGGGAAUUUUCGGCAAUGGGGGAAACCCUGACCGAGCAACGCCGCGUGAGUGAUGACGGCCUUCGGGUUGUAAAGCUCUGUUGUAAGGGAAGAACGGUAGAUAGAGAAUAUCUAAAUGACGGUACCUUACCAGAAAGCCACGGCUAACUACGUGC